rnacentral:rRNA from 1 species
GUGUCAGCAGCCGCGGUAAUACGGAGGGUGCAAGCGUUAUCCGGAUUCACUGGGUUUAAAGGGUGUGUAGGCGGGCAGUUAAGUCAGUGGUGAAAUCUCCGGGCUCAACCCGGAAACUGCCAUUGAUACUAUCUGUCUUGAAUAUCGUUGAGGCGGGCAGAAUAUGUCAUGUAGCGGUGAAAUGCAUAGAUAUGACAUAGAAUACCGAUUGCGAAGGCAGCUCGCUAAACGAUCAUUGACGCUGAGGCACGAAAGCGUGGGGAUCAAACAGGAUUAGAUACCCUGGUAGUCC